rnacentral:lncRNA from 1 species
AUUAUUGGCUCCAGAAGCAUUGUUCCUCCCGUUCGCAGGAGCUGUUAAAUUGGCAAUUAAAUUACAUAUUAAAGAAAUGGAUCGACUCGAUACAUUUUUGAGACAAGCUAGUUGUUCCAUUGAUUGCUGGGAGGUAGACCAACUCAUAAAAAAGAGAAGGUCAAGCCAAAGAUGUCAAAGAUAGAUAUAAAUACGGUGCAAGAGAUAUGACAGGCUGUCUGAAUGGUAUCGUCCGGCUACCUUUCCCUACUCUACAGUAUCAGCGACAAGCCACUGGAAUAUUGGUGCAAGCAACACUCACAGACAGGAAGAGUUUGCAAAACAUUGGAUUCAGAUCUUUUGGAAAAUAUCGUAGAACUGCAGGAUUUGGAGAAAUCGAGCAAUGGAAACACGUUUAUCGGAUGUCCAGCCUCUCCACAGCAAUUGCUUGACAUCCGUCUUCCGUUUCUCGUGAUUGUCAUGAAGAAUAUGAAUGUGGAGUGCCGUUUUCAAGUACAGG